rnacentral:rRNA from 1 species
UAUGAACGCUGGCGGCGUGCCUAAAACAUGCAAGUCGAGUGCACUUCGGGUGCACGGCGAACUGGUGAGUAACACAUUGGAAUCUGCCCUUAUCACAGGGAUAACCCAUCGAAAGGUGGAAUAAUACCUGAUAUACCGCUUGCGGUGAAAGCUUUUGCGGAUAAGGAGGAUCCUAUGUCCUAUCAGCUUGUUGGUGGGGUAAAGGCCUACCAAGGCUACGACGGGUAGCUGGUCUGAGAGGAUGAUCAGCCACAUUGGGACUGAGAUACGGCCCAGACUCCUACGGGAGGCAGCAGUUAGGAAUAUUGCGCAAUGGACGAAAGUCUGACGCAGCAACGCCGCGUGAAGGAUGGAGGCCUUCGGGUUGUAAACUUCUUUUAUAUGGGAAGAUUAUGACGGUACCAUAUGAAUAAGCUCCGGCUAACUACGUGCCAGCAGCCGCCGUAA